UGAUGCCUGGGAUUGCAGCAGCUGCC
rnacentral:piRNA from 1 species